UCGUGAAUCCCUAAUCCGUGAAUCCAUUGAAGAAUCCCUAAUUCCCUAAUUCAAAAUCCCUCGUUAAAGGGUUUCUGAAUCAUCAAAGGUUUUCCAGAACUAUCGGCUUUGUGGAUGCUGGAAUCAACUUUUCUUUGCAAGUUUUCAAGAAUGCUCAUCUUACUUAGUGGAGGCAGUAAGCAGUUGUUGAAUGCAAGUUAAUUUGGAACCGAAGCACUAUAUCAUCCGGGAUUUUGCAAAGAUAACUCUUUCUCAAGUUGCAACUGCUACACCAGCUGACACAGCAGCCAAAGCUAAAACCUGCAUCAUUGCAUUCCAAUGCAUGAUUAGUACA